rnacentral:rRNA from 1 species
CAGGGAAUCUUGCGCAAUGGGCGAAUAGGCCUGACGCAGCGAUACCGCGUGGGGGAAGAAGGCCUUCGGGUCGUAAACCCCUUUUCUUGGGGAAGAGAGAGGACGGUACCCGAGGAAUAAGCCUCGGCUAACUACGUGCCAGCAGCCGCGGUAAUACGUAGGAGGCGAGCGUUGUCCGAAUUUACUGGGCGUAAAGGGCGAGUAGGCGGCCCGUUAAGUCCUAUGUGAAAUCUCCCGGCUCAACCGGGAGGGGUCAUAGGAAACUGGCAGGCUUGAGGGCAGUAGAGGAAAGUGGAAUUCCCGGAGUAGUGGUGAAAUGCGUAGAUACCGGGAGGAACACCAGAGGCGAAGGCGACUUUCUGGGCUGUCCCUGACGCUGAGGCGCGAAAGCAUGGGGAGCGAACCGG